GGAUCUUGCGCACACGACCUGCUCCACUAACCAACUAAGCCACGACCUAUUCUUAUGCCACUAACACAUGCAUGUAUAACAACUUCCUAGAUAACUUGUGCAUCACGUUAGCUUCAGAUCUUUGCAUGCAGCAGCUUCUCACUGCAUGUUGGAGUCUCUCCAUACAUGCUCUUCCAACUGAACCACCAGAUGUAUGCCUCGCACGUAUCUCUGCACAAACACACUACUACAUGCAAAUACAAAAGUAAACAUGCAGAUACACAAGACACCAAG
rnacentral:lncRNA from 1 species